UACGUGAGGGGCGAACGUUGGUUCGGUGUCACUGGGCUUAAAGGGUGCGUAGGUGGUUGCGUAAGUAAGGUGUGAAAUCCCUCGGGCUUACCCGGGGAAUUGACAUUUUAUACUGGCGUUGGCUUUGAGGACUAAAGGGGAAAAGGGAACUCCAGGGUGUAGCAGGGUAGGAAAUGCGCAGAUAUCUGGGGGAAAGGCCGGCGGCGAAGGCGCUUU
rnacentral:rRNA from 1 species